rnacentral:rRNA from 1 species
UGGAGGCAGCAGUGGGGAAUAUUGGGCAAUGGAGGCAACUCUGACCCAGCCAUGCCGCGUGCAGGAAGACGGUCCUCUGGAUUGUAAACUGCUUUUGAAUGGGAGGAAUGUGUGGCUUGCGAGCUAUAAUGACGGUACCAUUAGAAUGAGCCACGGCUAACUACGUGCCAGCAGCCGCGGUAAUACGUAGGUGGCGAGCGUUAUCCGGAUUUAUUGGGUUUAAAGGGUGCGUAGGCGGCUUAAUAAGUCGGUGGUCAAAAGUAGCAGCUUAACUGUUUUACAUGCCAUCGAUACUGUUGAGCUUGAGAUAUUUGGAGGCAGCUAGAAUUUCCGGUGUAGCGGUGAAAUGCAUAGAUACCGGAAGGAAUACCAAUUGCGAAGGCAGGUCGCUACGAAUAAACUGACGCUGAUGCACGAAAGCGUGGGGAUCAAACAGGAUUAGAUACCCCGGU